UUAGUACUCUCUUUGUUUCGAAUUACUUGUCGCAGGUAUGAAUGUAUUUAGAUGUAUUUUAGUUCUAGAUACAUCCAUUUUUACGACGAGUAAUUUGGAAUGGAGGGAGUAUAUG
rnacentral:pre_miRNA from 1 species